rnacentral:lncRNA from 1 species
ACAGUCAGUAUUGAGCAGCCCGUCAUUGUGGGUCCAGAUGAAAGUGGCCAUCUCUCACUGUUUCUGUCUACAGUGUAUGGAGCAGCCAGGCUUUCAAGAAAAACAUCUUGUCUGUAAACUUAGCAACACACAGACACUGUCAGAAGCUUAAAGUUAAGUCAGCCCCUCAGCUGGGAUUCAGAGUUUUAGUCCAAAAGAUUUCCUUUGAUACCAGAAGUACUUCUUCCUUAAAACCACUGUGGGUUUUUUUUUGUUUUUGCUUUUUUGUUUUUUUAAAUAUUGGCUAAAACCCACUGCCAUGUAACUGGCUCCUCCCAAGGAUGCAGUGGAGAUGUAAACUUGAGUUUGCUGUAAUCUUCAGCUCCGGGAAUGAGUAAGGAAGGUGUCUCUUUCUUAGCUGCAGGUAAUUUCCGAGCAAAAAGACCAGCAAAUCACAUGGCCCACGUGCUUUUCUAUGAAGGAGGAAAGGUUUAAGGAAAAACUACCGGAUUGGAGCUGUGACCGGUCUUUAUAUGGGAAAAGAUUAAUUCUGGUGGACUAACGACAUCUAAAAUUAGAACGUGGGAACAGGGUUAUGUGUAACAAAAUGCAGGACAUUGAUGUAUCUGUGUGUGAGUGGAUCUCCAGACUUGAGAAAAGAAAAUAUGAAAUGAAUAUUUAAGAAGCUAUCAGAGGAGUGUAAUUACAUUGAUUUCUGACAGGAGACCUCAGUGGCCGAAUCUUAGUUCUCUUUACGGUUAUGGGCGCUCUUAAAACUCUUCACGGUAACAUCUUUUUGAUGGCCUCUAGAAAGGAUUACAUCAUGACAAGCCCUCUGUUUUUCUGGCCAGAGCGGAGGUUAAGGCAAAAUCUUGAGGUUGGCCUAAUUAGGUGAACUUUGAAACUGCCCUGAUGGUACACCUGGCCUUUGACUGAAUUCUGUGGGAAAUGCAGCCAUAGAUUAUUUUCAGUUAGUAGCUGUAUUAAGGGCAGAGUGUGUGCUUAGCAUGCCCGACCCUGGGCUCAGCUCCCCGAAUUUUAGGAGAUUAGAAUAUGAGUCAGGUUACCUUUGUCAGACGCUGUGUCCGUCUGUCACUUCUCUUCCUGUCAAGCUUUCAUUGUCCCCACAUCCCUUAGGAAAAUAAUUGGUUUGGUUUAAAGGAUUACACUGUGCAUGCAGGGCCCAGUGUCCUUCCCUGGUGUGUCCUCCUUUGCUGUGUGGGACAAUGAAAGAGAAUCUGAUUAGCACUGGGCCUGGCUCUGAAGUGACUCUCACAGAUGUUACUUUUGGAGCUGGGGACUGUUGGGUUGUCUCCCCUGGUGCAGCACUGUAAUAUAACUCUUGACCAUAGGAAUGAACCGGGGCUUUCUGAAACCCUUCAGUGUUGCACACUGUGGUCUUGGUAGGAACUCACUCUUUCAUACUGGCGUAAAUAGGACGCCUGCCAUAAUCUUUGUUCUAAUGCCCGGUCUUCACCCGUGGAUUGGUUAACACUCAUGUGGUAUUUAUAGUAUGUGCUGUACUAAUCAGUAAAACAUUCAGUGACUCAUUUCAUCUUCAGAGCUAACCAGGGAGGUAGGGAUGUUUUCAGCUGGGGAAACUGAGGCACAAGAAUGGUCUCGGGCCUUGACCACGGUUCUAUAGCUAGUAAGCCUACGUCUGGUUCCAUAUAUUCUAUCCAUAGAUAGUUGUUGCUGUUGCUACGGCUGUUACUUAUUUUCAGGAAAGACCUCCUGUGUACUAGGCAAAUGUUUUGUCACUACCCUCUACUCCAGCCCAUGACUAAUAUUUUAGAAGGCCGAACACAUUAGG